rnacentral:rRNA from 1 species
AGCAGUAGCCGCGGUAAUACGAAGGGUGCAAGCGUUACUCGGAAUUACUGGGCGUAAAGCGUGCGUAGGUGGUGGUUUAAGUCCGUUGUGAAAGCCCUGGGCUCAACCUGGGAAUUGCAGUGGAUACUGGGUCACUAGAGUGUGGUAGAGGAUAGUGGAAUUUCCGGUGUAGCAGUGAAAUGCGUAGAGAUCGGAAGGAACAUCUGUGGCGAAGGCGACUAUCUGGGCCAACACUGACACUGAGGCACGAAAGUGUGGGGAGCAAACAGGAUUAGAGACCCCUGUAGUCCCUGUCUCUUAUAC